UGGCUGAGCGAUAAAGCGCUUGACUUCAGAACCAGAAUCAAGGGUUCGAACCCUU
rnacentral:tRNA from 1 species